rnacentral:precursor_RNA from 10 species
GGAUAGAAAUCUCAUUCGAACCUCUUUUUAUUUGGCACUUGCACAAUAUUGAUUCGACGUAUCAAUUCUGGACAAGUGCCUACAAAAAACUGGUUUCCACACAACCGAAGUUAAG